rnacentral:lncRNA from 1 species
GCCGUAGAUUAUGGUUUGCCUCUGCUGUGCGGUACCAGCAGUGAUGCAGCACGAGGUCACCCCGGGUGUGCUGCAGAAAGAAACACUCAAGACAUUGUGAGCUGUCACACUCGUGCCAGCAGCGGGCUGUCACCUGCACGGUCUGCCGUUCUCCUGUAGGGUGGCCCUGGCUGUCUUCUCCCAUGAGUGAGGCAGCAAGUGCCUUGAGCCUGAAACCUCCCCCAUUUCUGCCAUAUCCACUUGGCCAGAAUGAGCCACAAACCCAGCCUGGACAACAAGAUGGGCAAGGACCCUGCCCUUGGUGAGGAGGUAAGUGCACAUUUGCACAUUGCUACACCGUGUCGUCCGAGAACCACCCUUCAGUG